CCCGCGGCCUAUCAGCUUGUUGGUGGGGUAAUGGCCUACCAAGGCGACGACGGGUAGCCGGCCUGAGAGGGCGACCGGCCACACUGGGACUGAGACACGGCCCAGACUCCUACGGGAGGCAGCAGUGGGGAAUAUUGCACAAUGGGCGAAAGCCUGAUGCAGCGACGCCGCGUGAGGGAUGACGGCCUUCGGGUUGUAAACCUCUUUCAGCAGGGAAGAAGCGCAAGUGACGGUACCUGCAGAAGAAGCGCCGGCUAACUACGUGCCAGCAGCCGCGGUAAUACGUAGGGCGCAAGCGUUGUCCGGAAUUAUUGGGCGUAAAGAGCUCGUAGGCGGCUUGUCACGUCGGAUGUGAAAGCCCGGGGCUUAACCCCGGGUCUGCAUUCGAUACGGGCUAGCUAGAGUGUGGUAGGGGAGAUCGGAAUUCCUGGUGUAGCGGUGAAAUGCGCAGAUAUCAGGAGGAACACCGGUGGCGAAGGCGGAUCUCUGGGCCAUUACUGACGCUGAGGAGCGAAAGCGUGGGGAGCGAACAGGAUUAGAUACCCUGGUAGUCCACGCCGUAAACGUUGGGAACUAGGUGUUGGCGACAUUCCACGUCGUCGGUGCCGCAGCUAACGCA
rnacentral:rRNA from 1 species